CCGCGGUAAUACGUAGGUGGCAAGCGUUGUCCGGAUUUAUUGGGUUUAAAGGGUGCGUAGGCGGUCAAGUAAGUCAGUGGUGAAAUCCGGCAGCUCAACUGUCGAUGUGCCAUUGAUACUGCAUGACUUGAGUACAGACGAGGUAGGCGGAAUUGACGGUGUAGCGGUGAAAUGCUUAGAUAUCGUCAAGAACACCGAUAGCGAAGGCAGCUUACUAGACUGUAACUGACGCUGAUGCACGAAAGUGUGG
rnacentral:rRNA from 1 species